UCCAGGGUAGCCUAGUGGACAUGGCAUCUUUCCUAUAAACGGAACAUUGUGGGUUCGAUUCCCAUCCCUGGAC